rnacentral:rRNA from 1 species
UAGGGAAUCUUCGGCAAUGGACGAAAGUCUGACCGAGCAACGCCGCGUGAGUGAAGAAGGUUUUCGGAUCGUAAAACUCUGUUGGUAGAGAAGAACGUUGGUGAGAGUGGAAAGCUCAUCAAGUGACGGUAACUACCCAGAAAGGGACGGCUAACUACGUGCCAGCAGCCGCGGUAAUACGUAGGUCCCGAGCGUUGUCCGGAUUUAUUGGGCGUAAAGCGAGCGCAGGUGGUUUAUUAAGUCUGGUGUAAAAGGCAGUGGCUCAACCAUUGUAUGCAUUGGAAACUUGUAGACUUGAGUGCAGGAGAGGAGAUUGGAAUUCCAUGUGUAGCGGUGAAAUGCGUAGAUAUAUGGAGGAACACCGGUGGCGAAAGCGGCUCUCUGGCCUGUAACUGACACUGAGGCUCGAAAGCGUGGGGAGCAAACA